rnacentral:rRNA from 1 species
CCAGGAGCCGCGGUAAUUCCAGCUCCAAUAGCGUAUAUUUAAGUUGUUGCAGUUAAAAAGCUCGUAGUUGGAUUUCGGGUGGGUGGCAGCGGUCCGACUCUGCUGUGUACUGCUGUUGACUUCCUUUCUUUCGGGGACGGGCUCUUGGACUUCACUGUCCGGGACUCGGAGUCGGCGAGGUUACUUUGAGUGAAUUAGAGUGUUCAAAGCAAGCGUUCGCUAUGAAUACAUUAGCAUGGAAUAACAUGAUAGGACUCUGGCUUAUCUUGUUGGUCUGUAAGACCGGAGUAAUGAUUAAGAGGGACAGUCGGGGGCAUUCGUAUUUCAUUGUCAGAGGUGAAAUUCUUGGAUUUAUGAAAGACGAACUUCUGCGAAAGCAUUUGCCAACGAUGUUUUCAUUAAUCAAGAACGAAAGU